AGACCCGAAACCCGGUGAUCUAGCCAUGGGCAGGUUGAAGGUUGGGUAACACUAACUGGAGGACCGAACCGACUAAUGUUGAAAAAUUAGCGGAUGACCUGUGGCUGGGGGUGAAAGGCCAAUCAAACCGGGAGAUAGCUGGUUCUCCCCGAAAGCUAUUUAGGUAGCGCCUCGUGAAUUCAUCUCCGGGGGUAGAGCACUGUUUCGGCUAGGGGGCCAUCCCGGCUUACCAACCCGAUGCAAACUGCGAAUACCGGAGAAUGUUAUCACGGGAGACACACGGCGGGUGCUAACGUCCGUCGUGAAGAGGGAAACAACCCAGACCGCCAGCUAAGGUCCCAAAGUCAUGGUUAAGUGGGAAACGAUGUGGGAAGGCCCAGACAGCCAGGAUGUUGGCUUAGAAGCAGCCAUCAUUUAAAGAAAGCGUAAUAGCUCACUGGUCGAGUCGGCCUGCGCGGAAGAUGUAACGGGGCUAAACCAUGCACCGAAGCUGCGGCAGCGAACGUAUCACCCAAGACAACUUUACGGAGUUGACGAUUGACGGAGCGAAGCGACGUCAAAGCGUUCAUUAAAGUCGAGUUGGCUUAGGGAUACGUUCGUUGGGUAGGGGAGCGUUCUGUAAGCCUGUGAAGGUGUGUCGUGAGGCAUGCUGGAGGUAUCAGAAGUGCGAAUGCUGACAUAAGUAACGAUAAAGCGGGUGAAAAGCCCGCUCGCCGGAAGACCAAGGGUUCCUGUCCAACGUUAAUCGGGGCAGGGUGAGUCGACCCCUAAGGCGAGGCCGAAAGGCGUAGUCGAUGGGAAACGGGUUAAUAUUCCCGUACUUGGUGUUACUGCGAAGGGGGGACGGAGAAGGCUAUGUUGGCCGGGCGACGGUUGUCCCGGUUUAAGCGUGUAGGUGUGUGUUCCAGGUAAAUCCGGUUCACUUUAACACUGAGGCGUGACGACGAGGCACUACGGUGCUGAAGCAACAAAUGCCCUGCUUCCAGGAAAAGCCUCUAAGCAUCAGGUAACACGAAAUCGUACCCCAAACCGACACAGGUGGUCAGGUAGAGAAUACCAAGGCGCUUGAGAGAACUCGGGUGAAGGAACUAGGCAAAAUGGUGCCGUAACUUCGGGAGAAGGCACGCUGACACGUAGGUGAAGUGAUUUACUCAUGGAGCUGAAGUCAGUCGAAGAUACCAGCUGGCUGCAACUGUUUAUUAAAAACACAGCACUGUGCAAACACGAAAGUGGACGUAUACGGUGUGACGCCUGCCCGGUGCCGGAAGGUUAAUUGAUGGGGUCAGCGUAAGCGAAGCUCCUGAUCGAAGCCCCGGUAAACGGCGGCCGUAACUAUAACGGUCCUAAGGUAGCGAAAUUCCUUGUCGGGUAAGUUCCGACCUGCACGAAUGGCGUAAUGAUGGCCAGGCUGUCUCCACCCGAGACUCAGUGAAAUUGAACUCGCUGUGAAGAUGCAGUGUACCCGCGGCAAGACGGAAAGACCCCGUGAACCUUUACUAUAGCUUGACACUGAACAUUGAGCCUUGAUGUGUAGGAUAGGUGGGAGGCUUUGAAGUGUGGACGCCAGUCUGCAUGGAGCCGACCUUGAAAUACCACCCUUUAAUGUUUGAUGUUCUAACGUGGACCCGUAAUCCGGGUUGCGGACAGUGUCUGGUGGGUAGUUUGACUGGGGCGGUCUCCUCCUAAAGAGUAACGGAGGAGCACGAAGGUUGGCUAAUCCUGGUCGGACAUCAGGAGGUUAGUGCAAUGGCAUAAGCCAGCUUGACUGCGAGCGUGACGGCGCGAGCAGGUGCGAAAGCAGGUCAUAGUGAUCCGGUGGUUCUGAAUGGAAGGGCCAUCGCUCAACGGAUAAAAGGUACUCCGGGGAUAACAGGCUGAUACCGCCCAAGAGUUCAUAUCGACGGCGGUGUUUGGCACCUCGAUGUCGGCUCAUCACAUCCUGGGGCUGAAGUAGGUCCCAAGGGUAUGGCUGUUCGCCAUUUAAAGUGGUACGCGAGCUGGGUUUAGAACGUCGUGAGACAGUUCGGUCCCUAUCUGCCGUGGGCGCUGGAGAACUGAGGGGGGCUGCUCCUAGUACGAGAGGACCGGAGUGGACGCAUCACUGGUGUUCGGGUUGUCAUGCCAAUGGCACUGCCCGGUAGCUAAAUGCGGAAGAGAUAAGUGCUGAAAGCAUCUAAGCACGAAACUUGCCCCGAGAUGAGUUCUCCC
rnacentral:rRNA from 1 species